GAAUUCCCCAGAGAGCAAUGAGCCGAGACCCAGGUAGUUGUCUGUUUUUCAUCCACAUGGUUCACAGAUGACAUAUCCCCACGUUGAGCCCUGCAACAGAGCUCGAGGCGGAUAGUCCCAUCCACACAGGAGUCACACUCAGGCCAACUGAAGCGUGAUUCUGGAUUCCACGUUUCUUUGCCCUCUGUAAAGGUGCCUGUUGCUCAAGUUUCUGCCCCCCGAAAGCGUGACCAUGUUGACUGUUUCGCGAGCUCUGUGGGGCCCCAGAAACUUCCAGGAAUGCGUGGAAGACCAGCAUCGUGUCGGUGCUCUCCUUUCCAGUUUUCAAACAGGCUAUAUUGGAGACUCCCCAUUUUGCAGGAAACAGGAAUCCAUCAUCAGGCCGUGAUGCAUCCCCUGCCAGGGCUCUGGACUCUCCAGGCGGCCACCCUCUCGCUGGGACUCCAGGCCUUCCCCAGGCUCUUGAGCUCCCGAGCUUCCAACACCUGGGGCCCGCUUAGGACGGGGUGUGCUCCGAGGCGUCAGGGCCCAGGGCCCACGGUCCUGGGGUCCCCUCCGGUCCUCCGCCUUGCCGCGGAAAAAUUAUUUUGGAUUCCUCACCGCCCCUCCUGCAAGGCCCCCUCUUGCCCCACACACCCAGAGCCGCCAGGGCUGCCCAGGGGCGAACAGCCGGCCCAGCCCCACAGGCCCUUUUUCUCACAAUGCUCACACCAUCGUCGCUUGUUCUGAGGAGGACCCGCCAUGGCCAAAGGGGCAAGAAGGCUCUGCUUUGCCCCGCCCUGGCACUAGAGCCCCGGCAGCCUCAUCCCGGGAAAGAGGGGCUGACGGACACCCAGACACACCCCACCACUACCACGAGCAAACCCACCCUGACACACCCACGGAUACACACGGGUGCAUGCGCGCAGACACACACACACACCACACCCGGGCACACACACACGGACACACAAAGACACAGACACAGAUAGCUCAAAGGGAGACCUCCCCUCAUAUUGUCUUAUGCCCAAUUUCUGCCUCCAAAGAAAGAAGAAGUAAAAUCUAAAAGGCAGAAAUGAAAUCCACAGGCAGACAGCCCCGCGCCACACCCUGGGCCUGGUAGUUAAAGAUCGAUCCCUGACCUACUCGGUUAUGUUAUCUAUAGAUUACAGACAUUGUAUAGAAAAGCACUGUGAAAAUCCCUGUCCUGUUUUGUUCUGAUCUAAUUACCUGUGCAUGCAGCCCCCAGUCACGUACCCUCUGCUUCCUCAAUCCAUCAAGACCCUCUCACGCGGACCCCCUUAGAGUUGUAAGCCCUUAAGAGGGACAGGAAUUGCUCACUCGGAGAGCUUGGUUUUUGGAGACGUGAGUCUGCGGAUGCUCCCAGCUGAAUAAAGCCCUUCCUUCUACAACUCGGUGUCUGAGGGGUUCUGUCUGCAGCUCCUCCUGCUGCAGAAGGAGAGCAAGGGAGAGAGGGAUGGAGAAAUAGAACCAGAGGGAGAGAGAGAGACAGCGAUAGAGAGAGAGAGAGAGAGACAGAAAAGGGGGGAGGAGAGAGAGAGGGGGGAAGAGAGAGCACCACAGUAGAGCGCGAGGUGGAGGGGGAAGUAGAGAAAGGGAGAGGGUGAGGGAGUUGUGGAGCGACAGCGACAGAGCCUUGGAGAGGGAGGCUCUGCUCAGGAUUUGUCCCCAGUGCCUUAUUUAGUUCACUUGGUGAGGUCAUGUUUUCCUGGAUGGUGUUGAUGCUAGUAGAUGUUCUUCAGUGUCUGGACAUUAAAAUCUUGGGCAUGCAGCACCAUAUGAGAAGUUUAAAAAAUAAAAUUUAAAGAGAGAAAAGGCUUUGGUAUCAGGAUGAUUCUGGCCUCAUAGAACAAGAUGGGGAAGAGUCCCUCCUCCUCUAUUUCUUGAAAUAGUUUCAGUAGGACUGGUACUGGCUCUUCUUUGUACAUCUGUUAAAAUUUGUUAAUCUAUCAGGUCCUGGGCUUUUUGGGGGUUGGUAGGCUAUUUAUUACGGAUUCAAUUUUUGGAGCUCAUAAUUGGUCUGCUCAGAGACUGAAUUUCUUCCUGGUUCAGUCUUGAGAGAGUAUAUGUGUCCAGGAAUUUAUUAAUCUCUUCUAGGGUUUCUAGUUUGUGUGUAUAGAGGUGCUCGUAGUAGUUACUGGUUGUUAUUUUUUUUUCUCUGGGGUCAGUGGUAACAUUCCCUUCAUCAUUUCUAAUUUUCUUUAUUUGAAUCUUCUCUCAUCUUCUUUAUUAAUCUAGCUAGUGCCCUAUCUUAGUAAUUUUUUCAAAAAACCUUGAUUAAGUGAUCUUUUGAACAGUUUUUCAUGUCUCAAUUUCUUUCAAUUCAGCUCUGAUUUUAGUUAUUUCUUGUCUUCUAUAAGCUUUGUGGUUGAGUUCUCCUUGCUUCUCUAAUUCUUUCAGUUGUGAUGUUAGGUUGUUAAUUUGAGAUAUUUCUAAUUUUUUGAUAUGGGCAUUACUUCUUAUGCCCUACUCUAAAUUUUGUUCUUCUAGAAAACUCAGAACUAUGCUUUCUAAACCAAUUCAAACUUUCUCAGUGAAUCAACCUGGACUCCCUGAGGCCAAGUUAGCAAUUUUCCAUUACACUUGGUUCUCUUUCUCUGUAAGAAUAUCUAAUGCAACAAUUCAAGUGUUUCUUUCCCUCCUGGUAAUGCGGGGAACUCCUUUUGGCUGAGACCAAGACUUAAAACCUUGUUCUUUCAACAUUAAUGAAGAUCUAUUUAGAAAGCCUCCAUUUUUGCAGAAAAGAUAUAUAAACACCAAUGAAAAUCAAUAUGAAAUUAUAUGACAUACAAUUAUAUUGUGGAAAGACUGAAUAAAUAAGUGAACUAAGCUCUAAGAAAAAAAGAUGAUGAUAUAAAAUGAUAUAGAAGUAAAAACCUGGGCUGGUAUAGCAUAAUUAAUGUAUCAGUAAAGUAUGUACAUUGUAGAAGUGGCAGGAAGACAGCAUAGAGAGUGAGACCUGACCAAAAGCUUUAAGGAAAGUUCUAUACCCUUAAACGAGAUUAAAGUGGACUCAGGAAAACAUGGGCCACAUGAGGGGAAGGACACAUGUUCCAGAUGAGCCAAAGCUCAGAGCAUCUCUACCUUCUCCAGGAGGAAAGGGGAGGCAAAGCAGCAGGCAGAAGACAGCACGGCCAGGUCAGCACAGGGCACCCAGGCCAAGCCAGGUGGGCUCCAUCAUACAGGUAGUGAGGAGUCACUGCCAGGUGGGCUUUAUUCAUUAGUUUGUUUUGUUUCUUUUAGUAACGAAGACACAUGAUCAAAGUUGACCUUUGUAAGUGUUGCUGCAGCUGAACAAAAAGAUGGAUAAGACCAGUGUUUUAAAAAUUAUGUUGUAUAGAGCACUAGCCUCAGUGAGAUAUUAGUAGAACACACAGGCACACACACACACACACACACUCACACUAAGCCCAGAUUAUUCUGGCAAAUGCUGGGUUAAGCAAACUAAAAGAAACAUCUUUAGUGCUGGACUUCUCAGAACCUGGAAUGUCGCUAUAUGACUCAUAAAACAGCAAGGUUAAGACAGAACAUGUCAUUUUUUCCCAGAAAUGCUGAAACACUUUCCUUCCCUUGGCUUCAGUGUCACCUUCUUUCUCCUGGUUCUCCAUCAACCUCUUUGGCUGAUCCUUCUUGAUUUCCUUCUUGACAAUCUGCUGCUGCUCAGCCAUUCUCUUUUCAUUCCCCAUGGAUUUCUCAAGUGCGUUUCUAUUCCUGCAUUUUAAACUUUCCUUGUUUUUCCUGACACCUCUCCUUGUCUGACUCACCCCUGUUCUAAGGCAGGUGUUCCAUCUGUGUGCGCUUUUGGCACCCUGGGAUGCUCCCAGCAUGUUCCCUGCCACACUCCAUCAGGUUUUCUCCGCAGACUCUGUGAGGGCAGCAGCCUUGUCUCCACCAUUCCUUCAAUGCUCAGCACAUAACACAGAAGCUGACUCCAUAACAUUUAGUUGGCCAACUGAGACUAAAUAUAUGUUCCUCUAGAUCUUAAAAAGUUACAGAAACAUAGCACAAUAGACAAAAUAUUCUCUUUAGUCAGGAGUUCUCUAUAUAUGUACAACAGUUUGAAGUCAUUAUUAAAGCAAAGUGAAAGAGAAACUGUCACAGAAUUCCCCAAGAUAAAUUAUUUUGCUUUAGUCUUCAUCAUGUGAGAUAAUCAAGACCAUGUGUUAUUGUAAAUAUUUCUAGCUUACAACACAACGACCUGAUUUUUAUUGUGUGAAAUAACCGCAAUAUAAAUCAGUUAAUUAAAAAUUGCAUAAAUAAUCCUUUCAAAUAAAAUUCUGCCUAAAUUUUACAUUACUCAUAUGUUCAAAUGAUAAUGAGCUCAUAGGCUUUUCCAAUACCUCAGUCAAAACACUGUACUGAUUCCAGCUGUGGGAAUAGUAUCUGAAAGUUAUUUUACAGAUGGGGAACAGGUACUUACCUGACAUUGGCCUUUACACUACUGUGCCCUUUUAGGUCAGGAAAAAGCUGUUCCCUUAAAAUCCUAAAAUCUCUUCUGUCAGGUCUGAAGGGUGGGUGGGAAACACAGUUUUACAAAUUUUAGCCACAGAUGUUUUAUUCCUUGCUUAAAGCAGUGACUAGAUAAAGGCCACUAGAAGAGUCUCCAAUGUUUCUUUAGAAGCGUGUGCCUGAGAACAUCUUCCAGAAACACUCCCUUGUCUCUGCCCAAAAUCACCUUAGGUAGGAAAAUCAAAACUCAGCAGGCUGAGGGAUCCAAGGGGAUCACUGAGCUCUGAGUCUUAUGAGAGAAGAGAGAGAGGUCUAAGACUUUUUGUGUAUAAAUUUAUGGGUUCCAAGUGUAAUUUUGCUGUAAGCAUGGAUGGCAUAGUGGUGAAGUCAGGGCUUUUAGGUAUCCAUCACCAGAAUAAUGCACAUUGUACCCAUUAAGUAAUUUCUCACUGUUCACCCCUUCCAUCCCCUCACCCUGCUGAGUCUCCAUUAUCAUUCCACUCUCUACGUCAAUAUCUACACAUCUUUUAGCACCCGCUUAUGAGUGAUACAAUAUGAUGUUUACUCUGUGUCUGGCUUGCUUCACUUACAACAAUGGCCUCCAGUUCCAUCCAUGUGUCUGCAAAAGUUAUAAUUCUAUUGUUUUUUAUGCCUGAAUGGUAUUUCAUUGUGUAUAUUUUCUACAUUUUCUUUCUCCAAUCAUUUGUUGAUGGGUAUUUAGUUUCAUUUUAUGUCUGUGCUACUGUGAAUAGUGUUGCAACAAAUACACAAGUACAGUUAUCUUUCUGAUACAUUGAUUUCUUUUCCUUUGCAUAAAUACUCAGUGGUGGGAUUGCUGAAUCAGACAGAGCCAAUAGAUGAUCAGUAAUGGUGGCCAAUCAUCAGCUAGAAAGAAAGUGCUUAGCAGGGCUUGAAAACACCAAAACUCUGAGACCACUGACCUUCAAAAACUUCAACAGCCCUGAGUGAAAAGUCCAAACACAUUUAUCUACCAUUCGAAGACGCUUUAUUGUCUGUCCUCUGCACAUCUCAGUAGUCUCUUUUUACCACACUGUCUAUAUACUGCAUGAGCCAUUUAUAUGAAACUAUCUGACACUCCAAGGCAUCUUGUACUAUAUAUUCAACUAUGUAUCCCUAGUACCUAGCACAGUCCUGGCAUAUAGUUUGCUACUAAACUUUUACAGAAUGAAGGAAUUAUCUUGUAUCCAGGUUCCAAGUUUUAAGGUGAUUCUUCAGUAAAAAAAAGUAUUACAGUUCACAAAUAAUCUACUUCCCUUUUUACAAAUGGGAUCAAUUUUAAUCUUAUCUCCUAAUAACAUUACUUUCAUUUACUCUGAUCUAAAUAUACUGUCCUAAGAGAGCAAUAAGAAAGAGAGUUGAAGCUGGAGUUUGAAGAAUUGUACAUGGUCCUGUGAUACCCUACCUUGUUUUAACCUGAGUGACUCUCUCCUAGCGGAGAGAGAGCCGGACAGACUCCAUUUUAGUUUCUUCACGUGCAGCCCCCUUUACCUUCCACCCUUAAUUGCAUAACUAGUGUAAACUGACUCAAAGCAGGUCCAGGAAUGCACUUAGUGAUAAGAUAUUGAGGCAAGCUGCACCAGCUGCUCCUGGGUACGCACUCGGUGAAUGUCACGCAAAACCCCUGCAUUUCUCUCUUUGUGAUAGUUUAAGCCCCUGCACCUGGAACUGUUUAUUUGUUUUGUAACUGCUAUUGUAACCAAUUAAUAUUUUAACUAUUUGCCAGCUCUGCUUCUGUAAAACUUGUUUCAGCUAAACUCCCCCCUCCCCUAUUUAGACCACGGUAUAAAAACAAAACCAGCCCCUUCCUCGGGGCCAAGAGAAUUUUGAGCAUUACAUGCCUCUCGGUUACCGGCUAAUAAAGGACUCCUUAAUUUGUCUCAAAGUGUGGCAUUCCUCUAUAACUCGCUUGGUUACAACAGUCCACACUGUGGCCUGAGGUGCAUUGCCCACCUGAGCUUCAUCUGUUAUGUAUGUCAGGGAAUAUAAGCAGGGUGAGAGUGGCCUCAUCAGAGGACCCCAGAUCUCUGGCUUACCCAUCUGGCAAGUGCACCUCUGUGAGCAAAGACUUCAGAGCCAGGUGACAAGAAUGGCCCAAGCAGUCCACCAGGAAAACCUGGGCCCAGUGUACGUCAAUGCAGAGCAUCAAGCAUGGUGUAACAGGUGCACAGUUGCCUACUCCUGUUCAGAGAUGACUGCAUCCCACAUACCGUAAAAUGAGGAAAUGCAUAGAAGCAGAUGUAACUGAAGAAGACAGCAGAAGCAACAAGGAGGGACAACCAGGACCUAGGAGGGCACCAUGCCAGAGACGCCUGGACCCCAUGCUAGGCUCAGUGCCUGUUAUACUCUUGGGAGCCAGCACUUUCCCUCUCCAUCACAUGGCAUACUUGCCAUUAUUUGUUGUGUAAAAUAUUGUCCUUAGUUUUCACCUUUCCUAGGAGACACAGGCAGAGCCUGUGACACUACAGCUUCUGGCACACAGUAGGUAGGUGCAUCACAAACAUCUGCUGAGUUCACACACUCUUGCCUUCUCAAAACUUCUUGUCAAGUCUUCAGUGAAAAGGAAUUGCUGAUUGAGCAAGAAUUAAACUUCUAGAGACUCCUGGAUCCACUGAAGUUUGAGACAAGGUGAGAUUUGUUUACUGUCAUAUUCCUAGCUCAUAACAUAUUGUAGUCACUUAAAAAAGUUUGUUGAAUAAGUGAGUAAAUUGAUUCAUACGUCAUACUUAGCUAUAUAUUUUCUGAGUAGAAUUGAUAAAGUUAAUAGUUUAAGUCUAGUAUAAUUUUGCUUUACUCAUUCAAUGAACCUGACAAUUCAAAUAGGUGCCAGGCACACUGCUGCUGAAGAAAAAGAGGUAUAAGAUAUAAUUUCUGUCUACAAGAAAGCCACAGUCUAAAAAGUAGAAACAUAUGAACAAAUCGUAACAAUAAAUAGGCUAAAUUCAAAAUCAGAGGAGUUUGUUUCUAUUUUAAACAGCUCUAGUCAGGAAGUGUUAGAGAGUUCUAAACAGGAAAUAUUCCAACACAUCAUCUAAGCAUGAAGCAGGAGACACCCAUAAUUGAGUUUGCUGCCACCAACCCCAACAGCAAGAAUUCCAGUCCUGCUGCUGCAAAGUAAGUGUCACUCUGAUUUUAUUGCUGCUGUGUAACCCAGUUUUAGACUCUCUGGUUCUCACUUAAUGUUCUAAAAAAGUAUUAAAGAGAAAAUUUUAUUCUGGUGAUGAGCCCAUCCACUGCAGCCAUCUCAACAUCAUACCAAUUAUAAGCCUAUCAUUUAAAAAGAAAGCUGUUAGUUUAACUUAUUUAUCCAAAUAUCAGUAUUACAUAAACAUAUUUGUCAUCAGACUUUGGACUUAUGGGUUAAAUAGCAUAUAAAUAUGAUUAGAGCCUUAAAGUUUACACUUCUCUGGUUCGCUCAAAUUUUUUUCAAAAUAGCAUAUGCCUUUCUAAACAAUGGUUAGUAUAUUUUUCAAAAUGAACAUUAAAAUGUAUAUUUUCCAAAAACAAAAUACAGCUCCCAUUGGUAAAUGAUGCUAUUGAGACACAACAGACAACUUCUCUUGGGAACCAUUUAAUCAGUGCUCACUUUUGCACUCUUUCCAGAAAUGUCAAUGGUUUUGAAAUAUAGAAGUAUAUUAUACAAAUAAACUUAUACUUAUUCAGUAUUGUGCAAUAUUUAGUAUUUCUUCUAGCCAUCUCUUGCUGAAUAGUAAGCCAUUCCAAAACUUACGGAAUUAUUUAUUGUUUAAUAUUGUUUAUUGUUAUUAUUUGUUUAGUAAUUUUAAUAACGUUAUUUCUCAUGGUUUUGUGGGUUGAUGGGCACUACAAAAGUUCUCUUUUGGAGUCUUUCUUGCAGUUGCGGUUGGUUGGCUGCUGCUGAAGUCACCUGAAAGCUCAAUUAGGCUAAAGAGUCUAAACGGGUCACUUACAUGGCUGGCAGUGCAUAUUGGCUGCUGAGUGUGAUGCCUAUCUGACCUCUCCAUGUUACCUGGAGUGCUCACAACGUGGUAGUUUGUCCCAAGACACACAGGCAAAUACUACAAAGCUUCUUAGGGCCUAGCCUUGGAGGUCCUAGAAUACGACUUCUGCUGCAUCCUAUUGGAAAAGCAAGUCAUUGUGACCAGCACAGAUUCAAGAAAUGGGAGAUUCGACUCUACCUGUCAAUGUAAACAGCAGCAUGUGCAUGCAGGGAGGAAAGAAAUUGAGGGCAUCAUCUUGAAGACUAUCAUAUCACACCAUUAUUCCAACUAGUGAACAUUAUGUUUUAGAUGGGUAGUACUAGCUACUCAUCUGUCCCCCAGAAACCCAAGCUAAGCAUGGACAUAUUGAAGAGAAUGUCAACACCAUUAAAAAAACUCUAGAAAAAUCACAUGUGAUGACUGAGGUUAAUUCAGUCUGUCAACUACAUCAAUAUAAUUGCCUUCUUGUAACCCUAAGUAUGGUGAAGCAGAAUUGAAUUCUACAAAAGUCUUUCAUCUGUUUUCCUAUGGAAUAAUUAACAAACCCAAUAAAUGUAUAAAUAGCAUGAAGUCCGACUUAUUUUAGAUUUUUACCUCAUAAUUUCAAAGCUUAUAGAAAUCCAGAGAACUAAUCAUCAUAAUCCAUAAUGCCUGGACCAGAAGUCCUUGUUCUAAGAGUAUCUUGUGGCAUGCUAAAAAUGUAUUACUAACUAGGAAAUUUAAAACUUUUUUGUUAGUGGUUUUAAGAGAGCUGACUAGCUCAUCACCACAAUUCACACAGAUUAAGAAAGGAGGUUACUCUGUGGAGUGGAUUCAUAGUGAUCAGAAAAAAAAAAUCACAAAAGAGGAAAGGAGAUAGGGAAGGGGAAAGAUACUGUCAAUCUCUACAAUUAAAGUGAUUUUUCGAAUGGUUUGAUUUUGUAUUUGCAAAGGAAAGGCAGCUUAAUGUGAUAGAAUAAGAAUCCCACUUCUGUAUCUUUUUUUUUUUUUUUUUUUUUUUGAGACGGAGUCUCGCUCUGUCGCCCAGGCUGGAGUGCAGUGGUGCAAUCUUGGCUCACUGCAAGCUCUGCCUCCCGGGUAGAUGCCAUUCUCCUGCCUCAGCCUCCCGAGUAGCUGGGACUACAGGCGCCCACCACCACGCCCGGCUAAUUUUUUGUAUUUUUUGUAGAGACAGGGUUUCACCGUGUUAGCCAGGAUGGUCUCGAUCUCCUGACCCUGUGAUCCCCCCACCCUGGCCUCCCAAAGUGCUGGGAUUACAGGCGUGAGCCACUGUGCCUGGCUCGUCUUCUUUUGAGAAGUGUCUGCUUAUGUCCCUUGUCAAUGUUUUAAUGGGGUUGUUUUCCUAAUGUCCAACAUCACUAAUCAUCAGAGAAAUGCAAGUCAAUGAGAGAUACCAUCUCAUAUUAGUCAGAAUGGCUACUAUUAAAAAGUAAAAAAAUGACAAAUUCUGGUUAGACUUCAGAGAAAAUGAAAUGCUUAUACACUGUUGGUGAGAAUGUAAAUUAGUUCAGCCACUGUGAAAAGCAGUUUGGAGAUUUUUCAAAGAAUUUAAAACAGAAGUGCCAUUCAACCAGCAAUUCCAUUACUGAGUAUAUAUCCAAAAGAAAAUUAAGAAUUCCACAAAAAAGAAACCCCACAUGCACUUGUAUAUGAG
rnacentral:lncRNA from 1 species